rnacentral:rRNA from 1 species
CCCUUCAGAGGGGGACAACAGUUGGAAACGACUGCUAAUACCGCAUACGAUUCAAUCUCGGCAUCGAGACUGGAUGAAAGGUGGCCUCUAUUUAUAAGCUAUCACUGAAGGAGGGGAUUGCGUCUGAUUAGCUAGUUGGAGGGGUAACGGCCCACCAAGGCGAUGAUCAGUAGCCGGUCUGAGAGGAUGAACGGCCACAUUGGGACUGAGACACGGCCCAG